GGCACUACAAGUGACAUGCCAACGGGCAGGAUUAUCCUUUCUACUCUCCUACUUUCUGAACUACUUUUCUCCCUCUGUAAGUCUUAAAGAACUUCAAUGAGCUAUAAGUGAACUCAGGUAGACAACUCAACAAAAUCAAGAAGACAAUACAUGAACAAAAUGAUACUUUGAAUAAAUAAAUAUAAACCAUAAAAAACUUGAAUUAUUCAGUUCAGUCAUAAUACAUGACUUUAAACUUCAAAACAGUUUGUUAUAGUACAGCCAAAAUCAUUAAAAUUGGUCAGCUAUGAAGUAUAUAUUUUUUCUAGUUCUCUAAUGGAUAGUUGUACAUUAUAUUCACAACUUACAAAAUCUGUCCAGCAAGAUAACAGAUUAGAAGACACUUAACAUUGCUUCCCCCACAAAGGUAUAAGCAGUAACUAUUCAAAGACAAUAAAACUACCCAGAAGUUACUAGAACUUGAGAGAGAAGCAGAGGAACUGAUGGAGCCUGCAGAAAUGAGAGAAGCUGUGACUGAUAAAUGACGAUUUUAGAAUCUGCCACCCACUACCCCAAGCCACAUAACAGCUCACAGAAAAUUUCUAUACAUUUAGGAUGUCUGAGUUGGAAGAAAUUGGAAGUUGAAAAUAAACAUUCAAUUUCCCUAUCAGUUGAGGAGGCUUCAUGGGAAGUCUACAUGGGUCUCAUCCCAUGGAAAACACUGAGAGUUCCAGGAGGGCUGAAUGACCUGAGUGAACUGAAGAUAAAAUCAGGAGAGCUGAUUGCAGCAACUGUCCUG
rnacentral:lncRNA from 1 species